AGAGUUUGAUCCUGUCAUGAGGACGAACGCUGGCGGCGUGCUUAACACAUGCAAGUCGAGCGGAAAGGCCCUUCGGGGUACUCGAGCGGCGAACGGGUGAGUAACACGUGAGUAACCUGCCCUGGACUUUGGGAUAACCCUCGGAAACGGGGGCUAAUACCGAAUAUGACUUCCCUUCGCAUGGGGGGUGGUGGAAAGUUUUUCGGUCUGGGAUGGGCUCGCGGCCUAUCAGCUUGUUGGUGGGGUGAUGGCCUACCAAGGCGACGACGGGUAGCCGGCCUGAGAGGGCGACCGGCCACACUGGGACUGAGACACGGCCCAGACUCCUACGGGAGGCAGCAGUGGGGAAUAUUGCACAAUGGGCGCAAGCCUGAUGCAGCAACGCCGCGUGAGGGACGAAGGCCUUCGGGUUGUAAACCUCUUUUAGUAGGGAAGAAGCGACUGGGUUUUCCUGGGAGUGACGGUACCUGCAGAAAAAGCACCGGCUAACUACGUGCCAGCAGCCGCGGUAAUACGUAGGGUGCAAGCGUUGUCCGGAAUUAUUGGGCGUAAAGAGCUCGUAGGCGGUUUGUCGCGUCUGCUGUGAAAACCCGAGGCUCAACCUCGGGCCUGCAGUGGGUACGGGCAGACUAGAGUGCGGUAGGGGAGAUUGGAAUUCCUGGUGUAGCGGUGGAAUGCGCAGAUAUCAGGAGGAACACCAAUGGCGAAGGCAGAUCUCUGGGCCGUAACUGACGCUGAGGAGCGAAAGCAUGGGGAGCGAACAGGAUUAGAUACCCUGGUAGUCCAUGCCGUAAACGUUGGGAACUAGAUGUGGGGACCAUUCCACGGUCUCCGUGUCGCAGCUAACGCAUUAAGUUCCCCGCCUGGGGAGUACGGCCGCAAGGCUAAAACUCAAAGGAAUUGACGGGGGCCCGCACAAGCGGCGGAGCAUGCGGAUUAAUUCGAUGCAACGCGAAGAACCUUACCAAGGCUUGACAUAUACCGGAAACGUUUGGAAACAGGCGCCCCGCAAGGUCGGUAUACAGGUGGUGCAUGGUUGUCGUCAGCUCGUGUCGUGAGAUGUUGGGUUAAGUCCCGCAACGAGCGCAACCCUCGUCCUAUGUUGCCAGCACGUUAUGGUGGGAACUCAUGGGAUACUGCCGGGGUCAACUCGGAGGAAGGUGGGGAUGACGUCAAAUCAUCAUGCCCCUUAUGUCUUGGGCUUCACGCAUGCUACAAUGGCCGGUACAAAGGGCUGCGAUACCGCAAGGUGGAGCGAAUCCCAAAAAGCCGGU
rnacentral:rRNA from 1 species